rnacentral:rRNA from 1 species
UGGGGAAUAUUGGACAAUGGACCGAGAGUCUGAUCCAGCAAUUCUGUGUGCACGAUGACGUUUUUCGGAAUGUAAAGUGCUUUCAGUUGGGAAGAAAAAAAUGACGGUACCAACAGAAGAAGUGACGGCUAAAUACGUGCCAGCAGCCGCGGUAAUACGUAUGUCACGAGCGUUAUCCGGAUUUAUUGGGCGUAAAGCGCGUCUAGGUGGUUAUGUAAGUCUGAUGUGAAAAUGCAGGGCUCAACUCUGUAUUGCGUUGGAAACUGUGUAACUAGAGUACUGGAGAGGUAAGCGGAACUACAAGUGUAGAGGUGAAAUUCGUAGAUAUUUGUAGGAAUGCCGAUGGGGAAGCCAGCUUACUGGACAGAUACUGACGCUGAAGCGCGAAAGCGUGGGUAGCAAACAGGAUUAGAUACCCUGGUAGUCCACGCCGUAAACGAUGAUUACUAGGUGUUGGGGGUCGAACCUCAGCGCCCAAGCAAACGCGAUAAGUAAUCCGCCUGGGGAGUACGUGCGCAAGUAUG